rnacentral:rRNA from 1 species
AUUGAACGCUGGCGGCAUGCCUUACGCAUGCAAGUCGAACGGCAGCGGACCUUCGGGUGCCGGCGAGUGGCGAACGGGUGAGUAAUAUAUCGGAACGUACCUUUCAGUGGGGGAUAACGUAGCGAAAGUUACGCUAAUACCGCAUAUUCUGUGAGCAGGAAAGCAGGGGAUCGCAAGACCUUGCGCUGAUUGAGCGGCCGAUAUCAGAUUAGCUAGUUGGUGAGGUAAAGGCUCACCAAGGCGACGAUCUGUAGCGGGUCUGAGAGGAUGAUCCGCCACACUGGAACUGAGACACGGUCCAGACUCCUACGGGAGGCAGCAGUGGGGAAUUUUGGACAAUGGGCGCAAGCCUGAUCCAGCCAUGCCGCGUGAGUGAAGAAGGCCUC